CCCUUAGAUGUUCUGGGCCGCACGCGCGCUACAAUGAUGAAUUCAACGAGUUUAUAACCUUGGUUGAAAAGCCUGGGUAAUCUUUUGAACUUUCGUCGUGAUGGGGCUAGACCCUUGCAAUUAUUGGUCUCCAACGAGGAAUUCCUAGUAAACGCAAGUCAUCAGCUUGCAUUGAUUACGUCCCUGCCCUUUGUACACACCGCCCGUCGCACCUACCGAUUGAAUGGUCCGGUGAAAUCUUCGGAUUGAGACUUUGAUUUCUUCACGGAAAACGCUGUUUUAAAAAGUUGAUUAAACCUUACCAUUUAGAGGAAGGUGAAGUCGCAACA
rnacentral:rRNA from 1 species